rnacentral:rRNA from 1 species
UACGUAGGGUGCAAGCGUUGUCCGGAAUUAUUGGGCGUAAAGAGCUCGUAGGCGGUCUGUCGCGUCGGCUGUGAAAACCCGGAGCUCAACUCCGGGCCUGCAGUCGAUACGGGCAGACUGGAGUUCGGCAGGGGAGAACGGAAUUCCCGGUGUAGCGGUGAAAUGCGCAGAUAUCGGGAGGAACACCGGUGGCGAAGGCGGGUCUCUGGGCCGAUACUGACGCUGAGGAGCGAAAGCGUGGGGAGCGAACAGG